GACGAACGCUGGCGGCGUGCUUAACACAUGCAAGUCGAACGGUAAGCGCAUCUUCGGGUGUGUACGAGUGGCGAACGGGUGAGUAACACGUGGGUGAUCUGCCCUGCACUUUGGGAUAAGCCUGGGAAACUGGGUCUAAUACCGGAUAGGACCAUGGGAUGCAUGUUCUGUGGUGGAAAGCUUUGGCGGUGUGGGAUGGGCCCGCGGCCUAUCAGCUUGUUGGUGGGGUGAUGGCCUACCAAGGCGACGACGGGUAGCCGGCCUGUGAGGGUGUCCGGCCACACUGGGACUGAGAUACGGCCCAGACUCCUACGGGAGGCAGCAGUGGGGAAUAUUGCACAAUGGGCGCAAGCCUGAUGCAGCGACGCCGCGUGGGGGAUGACGGCCUUCGGGUUGUAAACCUCUUUCACCAGAGACGAAGCGUAAGUGACGGUAUCUGGAGAAGAAGCACCGGCCAACUACGUGCCAGCCGCCGCGGUA
rnacentral:rRNA from 1 species